rnacentral:rRNA from 1 species
UACAGAGGGUGCGAGCGUUAAUCGGAAUUACUGGGCGUAAAGCGCGCGUAGACGGUUUUGUAAGUCAGAUGUGAAAUCCCUGGGCUCAACCUGGGAACUGCAUUUGAGACUGCAUGGCUAGAGUAUCGAAGAGGGAAGUGGAAUUUCCGGUGUAGCGGUGAAAUGCGUAGAUAUCGGAAGGAACACCAGUGGCGAAAGCGACUCCCUGGUCGAAUACUGACGUUCAUGUGCGAAAGCGUGGGGAGCAAACAGG